UACAGAGGUCCCAAGCGUUGUUCGGAUUCACUGGGCGUAAAGGGUGCGUAGGCGGUCGGGUAAGUCUGAUGUGAAAAUCUCACAGCUUAACUGUGAAACUGCAUUGGAUACUAUCCGGCUCGAGGAAUGGAGGGGAGACUGGAAUACUUGAUGUAGCAGUGAAAUGCGUAGAUAUCGGGGAAGAACACCUAUGGCGAAGGCAGCUCUCUGGGACGGUACUGACGCUGAGACGCGAAAGCGUGGGGAGCGAACAGG
rnacentral:rRNA from 1 species